rnacentral:tRNA from 2 species
ACUUUCCUAGUAUAAAAAGUACAGUUGACUUCCAAUCAACUAGUCUCAGCAACAGUCUGAGGAGAAGUA